UAAAGCAAUCAGCCAGACACAGCCCCUGCUGUCAAGGAACUCAGAAUCUAGUGGAGGAGAUAGACUAAAAAAUCAGUAGGUAUAGCUAUAAUAGAGGUUCAUGCAAGUUACCAUAUAAGUACAGUAGAAGAUCACAGAGGAGGGGAAGAUAAGCUGAAUGCAGAGGGAGUCAGAACAUACAUCUGGAGAUGGGGAUACCUGAGCUAUGAGUCAGCCAGGUAGCCAAGGUGAGAGGUAGUCUAGACAAAGGGUUCAACUAAGUAGUAACACCACAUGAGAUAAAGUAUGUUGCAUCCACGUUAUUGGCUAGAGUGAUGGUUUCUUCACUGUAUUUUUCACUUUUAAAUCAGUUCAAUUUGCAACAUAAAGGCACAGUGAAUGAAUGUUACCCUACUUAGGACAAAGUCAGAUGCCAAACUGAGUAAGGGGUGGUAGGAGUAGAAGGGGCACCUGUUCUAUUUAGGCCUAUCCGUGGAGAAUAUUGAAAGAGUUACAGAUUCUUUCUUUCCAGUCCUUGGCCUCAUCCGACCCUGGAGGUUUUCAGCUUGGAUAGGAUGUACCUUCAUGAGGGCACUCUUGGUGCGUGAUUGAUGGCUCUUCAGACAAGAUGUGCUAGCUUAAUACUGGCCUUGGUCAAGUAAGAGAGGUGCACCUGAUUUGUCUUGCUCUUAAUGUCAGUGUUCUUGCAGCCUGUUCUGCACACUCUGUUCUUCAGUGUGUGUAAGUUUGUCUCUGAACAGCAAGAAUUACCUGAAAGCAGUAGGACUGCCUGAGAAAUGGAGCGAUGCUUCCAAGUCUGUGUGUUUAUGUUUGUUGCUCUGAACUGACAGGUCUGAGAUGGACUCAAAUUAAAUUUAUAGACCCCAAGGGUUUCUGAGGAAGAAACAGGAACAAUUAAUUGUUCAUUUUCCUCUUUUAGCCUGUAAUCUAACAAUGAUUUUAGGACUAAAAUUCGAUUUCAGCAAGAGUAUGUACAUAUAGAUGCUUGUUCAUAACAACUCUGAAAAUGUGGAUUAUAUGUGUGAUUUUAAUGCAUUCGUUGGAAAUAAUAUUAUUUUUCACAAAGUAAAAGCAUCCAUAAUUUUGCUACAAGGAAGAAUAUUUGCUUCCUCUCACACAUUUUAUUUAAUAAUUUUACUUCUUUAAAAGCAAAACAGCACACAAUUUGAAAAUGAAAUUUCCCCAAAGUGUUCAGUUUGCUAAUAUGUUUUUCAUUUUCUUCAUUAUGCUAUAAUGGAAUGUUGCCAUACUUUGAAAUGUGCAAUUUAUCUCCCUGGAGGCAGCAGAUGGUGUGACUAAUCUGUCUUUUGGUACAGGAUUUAUCAUGAGAGAUGGCAUCUAGGACUGCAUGAAGUGGGAGCCCUGCCCUCAAAAAGCAGUGACUCUCUUUAUCAUUAUAACAUUUAGGUACACUUUAUUAUUUUUAAAUAUGAAAAAACUUGCAAAAAUGAAAAGGUUUUAGCACUUUAAAAAAACUUCAUUUUAUGUAAGAAAAUAUUAGGUGGAAACUAUUGAGUUAUUUUAAUUAUAUUUGCAAGUGUUUUCUACGCUGAAUGUCUCAUUGCUAGAAAACCCAUUAACCUCUUGGGAAGGACAUGAUUUUGUUAGGAUUUCCACCCUAGUCUCUGCUCUACAGCUUUGAAAGCCUAGCAAUUCAUUUUACACAGUAAUAUUGAUUCACACUGUUACUGGAAAGGGAUCCCGAUCCAGACCCCAAGAGAGGGUUCUUGGAUCUUGCAUAGGAAAGAAUUCAGGGUGAGUCCACAGAGUAAAGUGAAAGCAAGUUUAUUAAGAAAGUAAAGGAGUAAAAGAAUGGCUAGUCCAUAGGAAGAGCAGCCUCUGAGGGCUGCUGGUUCCCCAUUUUCAUGGUUAUUUCUAGAUUAUAUCCUAAACCAGGGGUAGAUUAUUCGUAAGUUUUCUGGGAAAGGGGUGGGCAAUUUCCAGUACUGAACUUUUUCAGACCAUAUAGGGUAACUUCUGUACACUGCCAUGGCAUUUGUCCACUGUCACAGCACUGGUAGGAGUGUCUUUUAGCAUGUUAAUGCAUGAGCAGUGAGGAUGACCAGAGAUUACUUUCAUUGCCAUCUUGGUUUUGGUGGGUUUUGGCAGGCUUCUUUACUACAACCUGUUUUAUCAGCAAGGUCUUGAUGACCUGUAUCUUGUGCCAACCUCCUAUCUCGUCCUGUGACUUAGAAUGCCUAACUUACUGGGAAUGCAGCCCAGCAGGUCUCAGCCUUAUUUUACUCAGACCCUAUUCAAGAUGGAGUUGCUCUGGUUCAAACACCUCUGACAACACUAACCAAACUUGUAGAAGACUGUUAGAAAAUUAGAGUUCUGUUUUACUAAUUUACAGGAAAAAUACAACUUCAAGUAGAUCUGGUAAUUCUUUCCCUCUCGGUGAAUUGCCAUCAGAAGCCAGGUUAUGAUAGUAAGUUUGGUUAGUAGGAAUAGACCAUCCCUGUGUGGGGCUAUGCCUACCUUUAGGACCUAAUUCACAUGUCGUGAGUCGUGAUGUCCUUGCUCCUGAACUGUCCUAAGAAUUUUUUAUUCUCUGGACAUUUUUAGUCUCCUGCUAACUACUCCAUUAUAUCAUCUCUUAAAAUAGAAGGGCUAAUGAGCACUUAACUCCCAAACAGAAAAUAGUUUUAUAUUGAGUGUAAACUCCAGGAGAAUAGUGAUUUUUCUGUAGCGCUGUAAUCAAUUAGCAAUGUCUGCCACAGACAAGAAAAGAGAAUGGUGGUAGCUUAAGUGACACACAUUUGCUCACCCUAGUUUAAAUCCCACCAUUAGUAUAUGGAAUCAAAUAAGUACUCUGAUUAAUAUUUAAGAACUGCAUUCUGCAUUCUUGGAAAUUACUUGAGAACAUGGUUUUAAAGCUGGAAGAAACCUUAAUUUUCCCAUUUCAUGGUUUAGAAAACAUUUGUUUUGAGGGACUUACUGAAGUCAGAGAGCUAAUAGAUAGUUGAGCAAUAAUUCAAGCCCACGGUCUCUGCCUCAUGGUCCAGCACACUUUCUUUCUUUUAUUUAUUUUAUUUUUAUUUUUUUAA